GACGAACGCUGGCGGCGUGGAUUAGGCAUGCAAGUCGAACGGUAUCAUCCUUUCGGGGGUGAGAGAGUGGCGAACUGGUGAGUAACACGUAGGUUAUCUACCCUCAAGACGGGGACAACCCAGGGAAACUUGGGCUAAUACCGGAUGUGAGCAACUUUUAGUUGUUUGAAAGGUGGCGUAAGCUGUCGCUUGGGGAUGAGCCUGCGUCCUAUUAGUUAGUUGGUGAGGUAACGGCUCACCUAGGCAAUGAUAGGUAGGCGGCCUUAACGGGUGGUCGCCCACACUGGGAUUGAGAUACGGCCCAGACUCCUACGGGAGGCAGCAGUCGAGAAUAGUCUACAAUGGUCGGAAGACUGAUAGUGCGACGCCGCGUGAACGAUGAAUCCCUUCGGGUGUAAAGUUCUUUUAUAUGUGAGCAGUGCUUCUUAUAUUAACAGUAUGGGGAGAGAGAUAUUAGCAUAUGAAUAAGCAACGGCUAACUCCGUGCCAGCAGCCGCGGUAAACU
rnacentral:rRNA from 1 species